UGACACCAGACACUACAACUCAACGGUUUAUCUGCGUCAGAGGAGAACCUACAACACACGUUGUCACUUUGGGGAGAUCUCCAGCACACACACACACACACGCACGCACACACACACACACACACACACACACACACACACACACACACGGGGGGGGGGGAUCAGAUGGCGUCUCCUGCUCUGGCUGAUGUAGCGUUAGAAGGAGGCCGAGUGGAGCUGUAAAAAGCAGAGACUUGAUCUGGAGUCUGACAGGUGUUCUCCGUCAGAGCGCUAGGCCUCGUCGCACACGGCCGGCGAGUCGUGUAAAGACCGCGUGCGUCACUUCCUCACGUGGUUGUCAUUCCACUCCGUCAGCCUGGAUCAACAAUAAACAUGAAGCUCUGCUCUGAGCUUCUGUCAACACAAGCCUUUUCCCAUCAUUCCUCGCUGGACUCCCUGGCACCAGAGUCUGGCGCUGGAGGAAGAUCUACAUCCAAGAUAUGGAGCCGGAUAAAACCCCACCCAGGAGGUCUGGAAUACACACACACACACAUGACAUCCUCUGAGCUAAUCAUUGUGUGCAAACACCACAACACAAACAUCCACAGGACAGGAGGACUCCAGCUGCUUUUACAGCUCGCACACAGCCGCCAUGUCUCACACUUCUCUUCUCACAUAUCACCUUCCAUGAUCAACAAUGAUUAGGAUCGGUCAGGGAGAACUGUAAGAAAUAAAUAAAGAAAAUGAAUAAAUCUUUGUUCCUUG
rnacentral:lncRNA from 1 species